rnacentral:rRNA from 1 species
UACGUAGGGGGCAAGCGUUAUCCGGAUUUACUGGGUGUAAAGGGAGCGUAGACGGAAGAGCAAGUCUGAUGUGAAAGGCUGGGGCUUAACCCCAGGACUGCAUUGGAAACUGUUGAUCUUGAGUACUGGAGAGGCAGACGGAAUUCCUAGUGUAGCGGUGAAAUGCGUAGAUAUUAGGAGGAACACCAGUGGCGAAGGCGGCUUACUGGACGACAACUGACGCUGAGGCUCGAAAGCGUGGGGAGCAA